UACAGGGGGGCAAGCGUUGUUCGGAAUUACUGGGCGUAAAGGGCGCGUAGGCGGCCCGCUAAGUCGAACGUGAAAUCCCCGAGCUCAACUCGGGAACUGCGUCCGAUACUGGUGGGCUUGAAUCCGGGAGAGGGAUGCGGAAUUCCAGGUGUAGCGGUGAAAUGACGUAGAUAUCUGGAGGAACACCGGUGGCGAAGGCGGCAUCCUGGACCCGGCAUUGACGCUGAGGCG
rnacentral:rRNA from 1 species